AGUGAACGCUGGCGGUAGGCCUAACACAUGCAAGUCGAACGGCAGCACAGUAAGAGCUUGCUCUUACGGGUGGCGAGUGGCGGACGGGUGAGGAAUACAUCGGAAUCUACUUUUUCGUGGGGGAUAACGUAGGGAAACUUACGCUAAUACCGCAUACGACCUACGGGUGAAAGCAGGGGAUCUUCGGACCUUGCGCGAUUGAAUGAGCCGAUGUCGGAUUAGCUAGUUGGCGGGGUAAAGGCCCACCAAGGCGACGAUCCGUAGCUGGUCUGAGAGGGUGAUCAGCCACACUGGAACUGAGACACGGUCCAGACUCCUACGGGAGGCAGCAGUGGGGAAUAUUGGACAAAGGGCGCAAGCCUGAUCCAGCCAUACCGCGUGGGUGAAGAAGGCCUUCGGGUUGUAAAGCCCUUUUGUUGGGAAAGAAAAGCAGCAGGUUAAUACCCCGCUGUUCCGACGGUACCCAAAGAAUAAGCACCGGCUAACUUCGUG
rnacentral:rRNA from 1 species